rnacentral:SRP_RNA from 1 species
GCCGGGCGUGGUGGCGGGCGCCUGUAGUCCCAGCUACUCGGAGGCUGAGGCGGGAGAAUGGCGUGAACCCGGGAGGUGGAGCUUGCAGUGAGCUGAGAUCGCGCCACUGCACUCCAGCCUGGGUGACAGAGCGAGACUCCGUCUCAA